UGACGGCUCGCGACGCGGUCACGGAAAAUAACAGCCGGACAGAGACGGCUGACAGACCAUCUUCCUCAUCUCUAACCGUCACUCGCGCCGCAGAUCUGAAGUGAGGAACAAUAAUGACAUCAGUCAUUCAACCUAGGAUCAGAUCUACUACUAUCUGAAAAGAAGACUUUUUUUUUUUUUCAAGACACACAAGAAAAAGGGAGCCAGAUCAGGUACAGAAGGCAGCUGUCACCAUCUUUGCUGUUAAGGAGGAAGAGGGAACAUUGUCUUUAAACCCAUUGGAUGUUUUGAUUGUAUUUGAAGAUGAUGACUUCCAAGUCUUGGGUCAGUGUACUGGUGCUUUUUUUUUUUUUAGAACUAAAGUAUU